UUUUUUUUCGAAAUCCGAGAAAUAGGAACGAAAAUCAUCGGCGGUUGUUUUUCCGUGUAGACACACCGUCGUCAACACAUAUAUUGAGCUCGGCGAUCGGUUAUCUGCAGCGUCGCUCUGAGGUCGCAUCAUUGCGCCGUUAUCGCCGUGAUAAAGCGUCUUCUCUGUAGCGCGGAAACCGACGUUUUACAAAAGACCAGACCGGCCGCGCGAAAAUAAUCGUUGUAAACGACAUGGCCGCGAAGACGUCUGUAAACUCGCAACGGGACC